rnacentral:rRNA from 1 species
CACACCGCCCGUCACACCAUGGAAGUUGGUUCUACCUUAAGCUGCUGUGCUAACCGCAAGGAGGCAGGCAACCACGGUAGGGUCAAUGACUGGGGUG